rnacentral:lncRNA from 1 species
UCUUUCUCUGGUUUAUUUCACUUAACAUAAUACUCUCCAAGUCCAUCCGUGUUGUUGCAAAUGGGACAAUUUUGUCUUUUUUCUGGCUGAGUAGUAUUCCAUUGUAUACAUAUGCACACUACACCUUCUUUAUCCAUUCAUCAGUUGAUGGGCACUUGGGUUGCUUCUACAUCUUGACUAUUGUGAAUAACGCUGCAAUGAACAUAAGGGUGCAUAAGUAUCUUUGAAUUGUUGAUUUCAAGUUCUUUGGAUAAAUACCCAGUAGUAGGAUCCUGCAUCUUUUGAAAAGCCCAAGAUGUCAAGUUUGAUGUACAGAUUGCUACUCUGUUUCCAAUGGUGUCAUUUCACUAGAGAGUUUAUGUAACAGCUGGUUGCAAGCUACAAAGCUGACUUGAUUUGCUUUUCGAAGUUUAUUUUACAGAUAAAAUCAUAGAGUAUGUAAAGUCCUGCUCUGGUUAGGAGCUCUGGAGGAUUCUGCUUCUAGAAGACAUCAUCUAAUGCCGUGGAUGUGUCGAAGCUCUGGUCACUGGUGAACAGAGUCAUGAGUAAUUGGGGAGAUCAUUCUGGCCAGCAAGUGGAAGAUGGAUGGAAGAAAUGAUAAGCAAGGAGACCACUUUCAAGGCCACCACCAACUGAAGCUGAGCGAUGAUAAAGACCUAACUAACUGGGACAAUGACAGAGUGGAUAAAAAGAAGAGGACAAAAAGGGCUUUGUGACUUACUGGCUGCCCCAGGUUCUGCAGGGAAUUUUGGUACAUAUCCCCAGCUAAGACCCACUGGUGUGGAACAGAAAGAAAAAGAGGCACAGGACUGAACUGUAAAAGGAAGGACAACUCUGAACAGGGAGUUCCUGCUGGUAGACCAGAGAUGACAGACAUGACCUAGAGGCAUUACGGGAGCCAAAGGAGAAGAGAAUGUCAAGGAGGGUGUGGUCAGAAGCACCAAAUGCUAUGGAGACGGUGAGAAAGGAGAAGUAAGCAGAGGGGGCUGAAUUGGGCUUUAAAAGCUUUCUAGGCAUCUCUGAACUCUGUUUCAGUUGGAAUCCGAAUUCAGAUGCUUGCAAACUGAGUUUGCAACCACAGUAGGUCCUUUCUUCCCCCAGUCAUUUGGCUAUCCUCACGAGAUCCUAUUUUGUAAGGACUGAAAUAGCAAUAUCCAAUCUACAAAUAAGAAAAUGUUAGGAUAGACUCUAAACGCAAUUAAGGUGUGAACUUCAACAAAACGAGGACAUUUUCUUCUGCUCCUCCCCUUCAUCUUUGCAAAUAAGUUGGUUAGCAGUUAGUUUGGUACUUUUCUUU